rnacentral:rRNA from 1 species
ACACCUACGGGGGGCAGCAGUGGGGAAUAUUGCGCAAUGGGGGCAACCCUGACGCAGCAACGCCGCGUGAUUGAAGACGGCCUUCGGGUUGUAAAGAUCUUUAAUCGGGGACGAAUUUUGACGGUACCCGAAGAAUAAGCUCCGGCUAACUACGUGCCAGCAGCCGCGGUAAUACGUAGGGAGCAAGCGUUAUCCGGAUUUACUGGGUGUAAAGGGAGCGUAGACGGCAGGGCAAGUCUGGAGUGAAAGCCUGGGGCCCAACCCCGGGACGGCUUUGGAAACUGCAA